AGCCAACAGCUUUGCCGUCCUCCCUGGCCGGGAGCAACCAGCUUCACUGCUUUCGCUUUUCUGGGCUUUUAAAAAGUCUCCGUGUGUCCGUCAUCUCCAAUCUGAGGCGUGAUCUGCCUCGUGGCCGACGAGUACGGAUUCGCUCACACUGCCACCCGUGGUGGGCUUUCCCAGUCCUCCCAAGGAAGGGCCGUGAGCACCGUGGUCCCUGGUGGUCAGCGUCUUCCCGAAGCUGGUGACCGUCUGGCUCAUUGUCUAGGUUUCUGUUCCUGCUGCUCCUCUUCCUGGGCCUUCCUCUCGUCCCUUUGCCCUGCAGAUUCUUACUGCAGAAGCAGUGACAGCAUCUGCUUGCAGCAUCUUCAGG
rnacentral:lncRNA from 1 species